CGGCUCGGACGAUCGGACUGAUGGUGCGAGGCUGCGCUCCGCGCGGGGCUCGAGAGCUCGAGCUGUGAGACGUGACCGGAAUUAUACGCGCGUCGCGGCGGUUUUUCCAUCGGUUAUUAUCCUGCGACACGGACAGAGGUUAAGAGCGCAGAAAAGCGUCGAGGCUGCCAUUGUUACACGGCGCCCUCCUUGCCUCAGACUUGCCCCUACCUGCCUAGGGGAAAGGUCGGAGACUCCGGAUCCGGGAUCGGCUGCCGGGCGCCUCAGCCUUGUUGUGCGCGAGGUGCGCUGCUGACAUUCCGCGUGCCGGCGGCUCGUGGGGGCUGUGAUUCAUCUCCGCCGGCAGGUAGGGGGCUCGAUUCGACUUGCUGACGGAGCGGACCGCGGACCCGCAGGAUGCCGCUGGCGCAGCUCGCAGACCCCCUGGCCCAAAAUGGAGCUGGUGCAGCUGGAGACGGAGAACGGGCAGAGCACCACUGAGGACCGAGACACGUCAGCC